rnacentral:rRNA from 1 species
CACUAGUGAUUGUUUGAUCCUGGCUCAGGAUGAACGCUAGCGGCAGGCUUAACACAUGCAAGUCGAGGGGUAGAGGAAGCUUGCUUCCUUGAGACCGGCGCACGGGUGCGUAACGCGUAUGCAACCUACCUUUUACAGAGGGAUAGCCCAGAGAAAUUUGGAUUAAUACCUCAUGGUAUAUAUCAUUCGCAUGUUUGAUAUAUUAAAGUUCCAACGGUAAAAGAUGGGCAUGCGUCCUAUUAGCUAGAUGGUAAGGUAACGGCUUACCAUGGCAACGAUAGGUAGGGGUCCUGAGAGGGAGAUCCCCCACACUGGUACUGAGACACGGACCAGACUCCUACGGGAGGCAGCAGUGAGGAAUAUUGGACAAUGGGCGCAAGCCUGAUCCAGCCAUGCCGCGUGCAGGAAGAAGCAUCUAUGGUGUGUAAACUGCUUUUGUACGGGAAGAAACACUCCUUCGUGAAGGAGCUUGACGGUACCGUAAGAAUAAGGAUCGGCUAACUCCGUGCCAGCAGCCGCGGUAAUACGGAGGAUCCAAGCGUUAUCCGGAAUCAUUGGGUUUAAAGGGUCCGUAGGCGGUUUGGUAAGUCAGUGGUGAAAGCCCGCAGCUCAACUGUGGAACGGCCAUUGAUACUGCCAGACUUGAAUUACAAGGAAGUAACUAGAAUAUGUAGUGUAGCGGUGAAAUGCUUAGAUAUUACAUGGAAUACCAAUUGCGAAGGCAGGUUACUACUUGUGGAUUGACGCUGAUGGACGAAAGCGUGGGGAGCGAACAGGAUUAGAUACCCUGGUAGUCCACGCCGUAAACGAUGGAUACUAGCUGUUGGGGGCAACUUCAGUGGCUAAGCGAAAGUGAUAAGUUCCCAC